UGGUGUCACCUGUAGGACUCACUUGGACCUUU
rnacentral:piRNA from 1 species